GAGAGAGUAAACAGUGCGUGAAACCGCUCAGAGGUAAACGGGUGGAGUUGAACUGUAAGCUCCGGGAAUUCAGCUGGUGAGUGUGUCAUGGGCUUGGUCAUUUUCGGCCGGCCUCUAGAGUCCGCUUAGCUGCGGGUCCUUGCUCUUUCGGGAGUAGGGAUGUGCGUUGCGCUUAUCAAGUGCUGUGCGCUCUGGGGGUUGCCGGGCUGGCUCGCCAGUGCACUUUCUCGGAGUGGUCACCACGACCGGCGUUGUUGUCUUGCUGCUGUAGUCGAACCGGUCAGGUUCGGUCCUUGUGGCUGAGCUUGAUCGGGAUGGCAGGUAGCUCAUUGGUUGGCUUGUCCAGUCUUUGGGUGUAAUCAGCUGGCUGCAGUGGUUUUGUGCAAUACGUCGGGGACAGCGGCUUUAGGUGUGUGCUUUUGUGCUGUGGGUCGGCGGUAUCGAGUUUGAUUAGCGUGUUACCUGUUUCGGCAGGUCCGUUGGUAGCUCGGUAUUGUUCGGUUUGCAGUUGCAAUUGUGAUACCGUUCAUGGGCCUAUAGUCUGUGGUGUAGCAGCAAACGAUCCACCUGACCC
rnacentral:rRNA from 5 species